UGGUAAUGAGAUGGUCAUUUGAUUUUACAGUUGAGUCUUAGGAUCAGGAUUUUUGUUUUAUUUUCGUUUAAGAUUAUUGUGGUUUUUUUUGUAACUUCUGAGCAUGGAUAUUUUUUUAGACAGUUAUAAGAAAUGAGAUUUCUCAAUGGUGUUGGCUAUUGUCUAUGAAGAUUAUGUAUUUAAUUACUAUCAAGGAAGUGGACUUUUGUUUGUUAUGUCUUAGUUUUUU
rnacentral:lncRNA from 1 species